rnacentral:tRNA from 1 species
GCCGGUGUGAUGGAAUUGGCAGACGUGCUGGACUCAAAAUCCAGUGGUAGCAAUACCGUGUCGGUUCGACCCCGACCACCGGCACCA